GAUGAACGCUGGCGGCGUGCCUAAUACAUGCAAGUCGAGCGAACAGACGAGGAGCUUGCUCCUCUGACGUUAGCGGCGGACGGGUGAGUAACACGUGGAUAACCUACCUAUAAGACUGGGAUAACUUCGGGAAACCGGAGCUAAUACCGGAUAAUAUAUUGAACCGCAUGGUUCAAUAGUGAAAGACGGUUUUGCUGUCACUUAUAGAUGGAUCCGCGCCGCAUUAGCUAGUUGGUAAGGUGACGGCUUACCAAGGCAACGAUGCGUAGCCGACCUGAGAGGGUGAUCGGCCACACUGGAACUGAGACACGGUCCAGACUCCUACGGGAGGCAGCAGUAGGGAAUCUUCCGCAAUGGGCGAAAGCCUGACGGAGCAACGCCGCGUGAGUGAUGAAGGUCUUCGGAUCGUAAAACUCUGUUAUUAGGGAAGAACAAAUGUGUAAGUAACUAUGCACGCCUUGACGGUACCUAAUCAGAAAGCCACGGCUAACUACGUG
rnacentral:rRNA from 1 species